GGGUCAGUGAUGAAAUCUUUGCCAUUUCUCAAGAGUAGUGUUGACUUAAACAUCUUGUGCAAUAGGCUUACUCUGAGGACA
rnacentral:snoRNA from 1 species